CCCACUCUUUACCAUGGGAUUUGUCAGUCUCUUUUUAUUUGUUUGUCUAUGGUGCCACUACAUCAAAAGAGCCGACGGUUUCUGUCGCUACUUGUCGAUCCUCUUACUCUGGUAGUACCAUACGAAAUUUCCAAGCCUUCAGAUUUGGCUUGGAAAUGAAGAUCGCCGUUUUUAUAUGGUGAAUGUCAUUGAUUGUCAUUUCCAAGCCAAUCUUUAUUGUGUAUUUUCUGUUUUGUACUGUAGUGAAAAAAGAAGAAUUUAUAUUUUUAAGUAUUUAUUUACUAAAUUUGACGUGAAUACAUGAUUACAUACUACAUACUGAAUAUUUAGAUACUCUCUAAUGGGUAACUGUAGCCACAUUCUGGCUUCAGUUAUGAUAAUAGUUGACAAUGAUAAAAUCUCUCCUUCAAAUCUAGUACUUAAUGAUAUUUCUUCUAGUGCGGGCAUUGAUUAAAUAUUUUUUUUCCACAAUCAUACAAUAAUAAGAGUUUUAUCCACUCAUAAUAUGAAGCGUUUAUAAUGAUAAUGUAUUAUUUCCUAGUGUGAUAAAAUAACAUUAUCCAAAUAGUUGAAUAACUAUUAACUUCUUGAAUAAGUUACCCCCCAUUUUUCUCUUCACUAGUUAAAUUCGGCGAAUAUUUUUUUGUUCUCGAGACUUCGCAGGCAAAUGGAUAGUUUGGUUUGGUUGGUUGCUUGGUCUUAUUGCAUUUUCCUUUUUUUUAAACCUUUGGCAAUUCUUAUGACAAGCCUCGAAUUUUACUUAAUUAUACUUAAAAUUUUAUAAUUUGAGCUAAAUAUGUAUAUACAGGUGUGUAUUACAUUCGUGUUUUAGUUGCAUUUUAUUCACUUAAGAAAAUUAUACGCUCGAAUGUCAACAAGUAGAAUAUGAACUUCCUGAUCACAUGCUGUUUUCUUUUCGGGAUUUGUGUUAGUGUGAAAAGAUGGUCUACUGUGGAUCAUCUUGCUCUAAAGUCUGCUUGUUCUUAAGCCUCCAAUAUAUUCCUUUUCGAUUCUAUUUUUCAAAAACUUUCCAUAAUAUACUCUACUAAUGGUACCUGUAAUCAUUCCUCGAUAAUUAUCGCAGAUACUUUUAUCUCCAUUUUUAUGUAUUGUUGAUAGGUAUAACAGUUUCCAUUCUUCAGGUACAUCCGAGGUAUUGAGACAUUUUUGAAAUAGGUUCUUCAGCAUAUAAAAUAGUUUUUCAGAUCCGUAUUUCACUAAUUCUUCAGGGUAUUGAAAUGGCCCUGGAGAUCUGCUAUACUACCGUAUGAUCGAAAAAAAAACGGCGUCCAGUUGUCUGUGAAAUUCCCAUAUCAAUUUACUUAUAAAAUGAUAGCGAUCUUCAUUUCAUAGCCAUCGCUGACGCCGUUUUUUUUUCGAUCAUACGGUACAUUCUCAUGAUUAUUAUGAAAUUUCUUGCGCGGAUGGCACUUUUAUGUUGAAAAGGAAUAUGUUCGUUAAAAUAUUUUCUUAUUCUUUUUCAAUAAUAUUAUUAUCAUUAAAAUUAUAUUUUAAUUAUUAUAGAAACCUUUUUUAUUUUACCCUGAAGCCGUGUAACCCUGAAAUAAUAUACAUCUUAUAUUAUCCUUAUUUACGCAACAUGGUAACAAAUAUCAUAUUACUAUAUCACAGAUUCUACUCUUACUAAAAAUAGUUAAUAUAAUAAUUUACCAGACCAUUAAUUCGUUAAAAAUAUACAUAUAGAUAUAACAAUUAACGCUUGUGCGUUUAAAUAAUAUACCUUCUGAUUAUUCUAAAUAUCUUCCCUUCUAUAUUAUACAAAUUAAUGUUUGUAUUGUUGCAUACUUUAUCAAAAGCAGCGUAAUGUUUUUCUCACAUAUUGAACUUUUUCUGAUUCAAUCUGUCAUGUUCUGCCCCCUUCCUCUCAAACUGAUUAAAUUUACUUAAUUAUUUCUGAUUAGUCUUCCUUGAAAUCAAUUUCUGCAUCUUUGCAAUCUUCGUGAGUCAUACAUAAUGUAAAUGUAGGAUGGCUGUUAUAGAAUUUGUAUACUAUAGAAUUUCCACAAAUACCGCUAAAUAUUUAAAGGGAAUAAAGCUCUCGCCAUCUUGUUGCUUUCUAGUAAAGGACUUGUGUCAUAUGUUUCAUUCUUCUUCUUCUGUUGCAAAUCCACUCUCUUUAUUUAGGAUUGUAUGGAGUAGACCACGUCCAUUGAUCUCAGUCGCGUCCACUGUCUGAUGUUACGAAGCCAUGAUAUAUCCUUUUCCUGCUGACUCCUCCUUCCUUCAAUAAUCAACUGAAGGAAUUAUCUAUCGUUACCUAUUACUUGACUUGUGUCAUUUGAUUGUGUCCAGCAGUUCGCGGUCUUUAUUAAUCAUUCUUAAGAUCUCAUCGUUAGUCCUUGCAGUUCAUGGUUCAUUUUUCAUUAUUUACAUUAUGAUUUUACUACAUUAAUAGAAAAUACUUAGAUUCUGUGACAUAAAUGUCCGUUUUGGACCUCUCUUCAUCAGGAAGUUUGGCAACUUUUAUUUCAUUAUCUUUGUUAUAAAAAAUCAUGCCUUUUAGGCUCUAAAUGUACCCUCUAUAUUGAAUUUCUUAUAAUUACUCUUGGCAGUAAUAUACAUUAUUAUUAUAUAUGAUAUAAUAAUAAUCGGGUUACAACGUUUUCCGUCUUACGAUUCCAGUAUCUCCACCUCUCUCUAUCUCCCCAUCAAUCUACUUCCAAUCUUGCGUGGUCCUCUUCUUUCUACCUUGAGGGUUCAAAUUUAAUAUUUUCUUUGGGAUUCGAUAUUCUUCUAUCCUUUGCACAUGCCCAUACCAUAUUAAUUGUUGAGUUUUAAUGCCGUCUACGAUAUCGUUCAGCUUUUAUUAUUUCUGCGUUCAUAUUACUUUGUUGAAGUGUCUCCCAAAUUCUCCCUAAAUGUAUGCUGUCAUAAGCUUUCUUCAAAUCAACAAGUAGAAUAUGAACUUCCUGAUCAAAUACUGUUUUCUUUUCUAGGAUUUGUGUUAGCGUGAAGAGAAGGUCUACUGUGGAUCAUCUUGCUCUAAAGUCUGCUUGUUCUUGAGCCUCCAGUAUAUUCCUUUUCAAUUCUAUUUUUCAGAACCAUUCCAUAUACUCUACUAAUGGUACCUGUAAUCACUAUUCCUCGAUAAUUGUCGCAGAUACCUUUAUCUCCAUUUUUAUGUAUUGUUUUUAGGUAUGACAGUUUCCAUUCUUCAGGUACUUCCGAGGUGUUGAGACAUUUUUGAAAUAGGUUCUUCAGCAUAUUAAAUAGUUUUUCAGAUCCGUAUUUCACUAAUUCCCAAGGGUAUUGAAAUGGCCCUGAAGAUCUGCCAUUCUUUAAAACGAUUUGCAUGCAUUUUUAAUCUCAGCUAACGACAGUCAGUAUAUGCAUUAUUAUUUUUUUCUUUAUUACUUAUCUUCUUAUAUCUUCUAUUCUUCAGUCCUUAAUUACACUUUUUUAUGUUGAUAAGUAUGACACCAUGUUUAACUUUGUUUAUCGGAUUAAAUCAUAAUAAAUUAUUACAAUGUAUAAAUCAUCAUCGUUAUACCUUUUUGUCCAAUGCUAAACAGAAGUCUCAUCAAGGAGUUUCUUCCAAGCCUCUGCGAUUCAAUCUGAUUAAUUCUUUAAGGUGGUCUGUUCAUUGGUUAGCUGGUCUACCUUGGUUGCAUAUAUAUGCAUAUAUCCAAUUUUGGUUGACAUUCCGAGACUCUUCGACCAUCAGCCAUUCUUAUUCAAUCUGAUUAAUUCUUUAAGGUGGUCUGUUCAUUGGUCAGCUGGUCUACCUUGGUUGCAUAUAUAUGCAUAUAUCCAAUUUUGGUUGACAUUCCAAGACUCUUCGACCAUCAGCCAUUCUUAUUCUUAUCAAAUGUCCCUUCCGUUUCCAUUUUUGCUUUGAAAUGCGCACCAUUAUUAGCCUUUACAUGUGUUUUUAUUCUUUCGUUUAGGAUUUGAUAACUCAAGAAGACCCCUUGCAUGGUUUUCUAUAUUCUAAGUUGUGUUACUUGCAUAUUUUAGCACAGGUUGUAGUUAAUGUGCCAGUCCCGUAUGCUAGCCGCACAGCACACUGCUUAAAGGUUUUUCCUUUCAUGCUCAUAGGAUUAUCCGUUUUGAAUAUAUCUCUAAUUUUUUUUCAAUAUUGGUGUAUUUCUCUAUGAUUUCAAUAACACAAUACAAUGAUCUCUAAAUAAAGUUAUUUUGAUAUAUCACUGUUAACUUUUCGUAUUUAUAGUCUGUCCAACUAGUCAGGGAAUAUUUCGCGAGACGUUACAUUCACUAAAUGAUAGGAAAUUUAGUUUACUGACAGACAACUCUCUCUGUCAAGUAUCUUCUCGUUAGAUAGAUUCUAUACUAAGGCCUCUCAGAUAUGAGACUGUUAUUAGAGGGUGGUAGAUAACAUAAAGUUCAUAAUAAUGCUGUUGUUUUGCUAAAUUUGCAUUCUCUUUUUUUAUAUAUAUAAAAAUAUUAACAAAAUAUGCCCAUCACUUUUUUACUUACACUUUUAUGUUUUGGUAGAAAAAAUGUCCGUGAUUAGCUACAUAUCUUUUCUGGAAAAAGUGUUGGUAUUUCUCUAUCAAUUAAAACAAUAUUGUAUACAUAUAUUACAGUAUAAAUAAUAUAUAUAAUACAUUAUUUUUUUUUGUAAAAUACCACUGCAUUAUAAUCCAAACGGAAACCAGUUGUCAGUAGCUUCUUUAAUAUUCUUGACUUUGCUUCUGACAGCGGUGUAAGAUAUACCUCCUGAAACGUUAAGCGUUUUUUGUUGGUUAGGCAAAGUUGUUUACAAGUAGAAAGCCACUGACAAUCUGCUUUCGGUUUAGGUUCUAACGCAGUGGUAUUCUACAAAAAAAACUAUGUUUCAUAAAUAAUAUAAUAUUAUAUUUUUUAUUGUUGAAAGCUAACAAAUUACCAUUGUAAUAAAGUUUAUAGAAAGUUCACUACAUACUACAUACAACAAACUAUUAAAAAUCGCUAAAAUUGUCGCUGAUAACGCUUGCGUCUAGCCGUACCGUGCAACUCUCCAACUCCAACCCACAGAGUUCCCACCAAAUUUCAAUCGUGGGUUAUUUCUUGUCUUUUAUUAUAAACUUGUAACUUUUGAGAGUAAGUUUUUAAGUAAUAGUAGCAGAAUUUAACCUAAAUUUCAAAAACGUACAAAUUAUAACAAUAUAUAACAGUUCUACAAAAUCGAUCGGGUAUUUCGCGUGCAAUCUAUAAACCAAAAAAACUUACACAGCUGUAAAAAAAUGUCGAUUCAACGAAGCUCCCGAAGCGGCAGCCUUAACCACGGAGCUACACACUGCUUUUAUAACCAGGCUAUAUUGAAGCCCCCCCUAUUAGCUUUGUUCUGCCGUUACAAUACGCUUGCGCCGGAACUGUGGGUUGGACGUUGAAGAGUUGCACGGUACGGUUAGACGCAAAUGCUGAUGACUCAUUCGUUACUUCCAAAAAAAAAAUGGCGUCUAAGAUCACAAAUUCUGCUGCAGCCCGUAUAUGGGCGUUACACUUAUAAGGCGUUACAUGUCCUUGUAUUCUUUAGUCAUUGAAAUUAACUCGUCACAAAAACAAUUUGUGUAGUACUUUAUGCUGUGAAAGCUGGAAACGCACGAAUGGAAAGUUCAACUCGAGACGCCUAGCAGCAAGUAUAAUAAUAUUUCGUAUAUUCAACUAGUAUACUAUAAAAUUUAAAGCAAAAAUUAUGUUAAAUAAUAUCAAAGGCCUUUUGAAAUUGACUACGGGUAUUGCCAUAAUAUCAAGCAAGUGUUGCCAUGUUUUCCCGUGCGAUUUAAGUUUGAUUUUCAUGCAUCCAUUAUCCGUUGAUACGUUGGUCCGGCGGCUCUGAUUGGUCAUAGCGUUUUCACGCCACUUUUCAUCCGUAAAUUUUUUCCUCCAGCCCGUCGACGGAGAAAAUUCAUAUACAGAAAUCAUUGAUUAUUAUGAUUUUUUAUUUCUUGUCCUGACACAUUUUUUAGAAUAUUUAAAAUAAGGAUAAGACUAUUUUUUUUGUUAGGUAUAAAUUACAAUGGGUAUCAAUCAUGAUGAACAAGUGUAUCUGUUUCCUCGAAACGAGGUGAUUGUUAAACGAAUUUAUUACUGUCAUGCGUAUUCUAGUUCGCUAGAAUAUUCACUACGACGGACGCAAUCGUCAUUUGUGAAUCAGACUAUACAGGAUGAGUCUUAAACAAGUGCAAAUAUUUCACGUUUUUUUUUCACAUUUUACAUGUCUAUGAGGUUUUUUUCGCAAAAAAAAGAUGUUGAAAGUCGUGCAUUUUCUUUUAAAUUUCCUAAAAUAGAACUGCCUGUUCACCGCAAAUUUUCCCACGAUAUAAUUUCUUAAUCUCUAUUACCAUAGUUACGGUUUUACUCUAUGGUUACGGCACUAAAAGGGAUGCAAAUACAGAAAAAAUCCGGUGGCUGUCAAAAUUAAAAAAAAUCAUUUUUUUUAAUUUUCAAACUUAAUAACUCGGUUAUUUUUGACUUAUCUGAAAAAUGGUAAAGAGAAAGAAACAUAUCUUUUAUCAAGAUCUACCAGCCCUGAAAAUAUUUGCACUUAUUUAAGACUCACCCUGUAUAUAUUCUUUAGUUUUUUUAUCUAUGUAAAGUUUGUCCGGCAAGAGAUGUGACCGAUUUCGUCAAACCACAUUCAAAAAUUGACAGAAAAAAAUAUAUUUGAAGAAAAUAUAUUGAAAUAUAUUGAACUAAGCUGACAAGCAACUGUGGAACUAACUGUAAUUGUGGAAUAAACUCCUACUUGACAGACUAUAUAUAUAUUCAUAUUUUGUUAGGACAAAACUAUUGUUACCGUAUUUUUUUCUGGGAAUAA